rnacentral:lncRNA from 1 species
CCGCCUGCAAAGUGACUUGAGAGCCCCGCGACGCAGCCUUCUAGAGGAGCAGGGACUUCUCUGGAACACUGGCGUGCGCAGGGAUUAAUCCCACCGUAGAGAGCCAGCCUGGGCUUUGAAGUGUUACAAGGGGAGGGAGGAGUCACAUUGCAGGCCAAGCCAGAUGGGCAAGCAAUACAAGCUGUGAAUUUAUUCUUGACCCCGUAGGACAGUGACCACCAUCAUUUUUUUCUUCACCCUACAGUUAUGCACUGCCAAUAAGCUUGAUGCCCAUCCUCAGCUGCCUCUGAUGCUGGAUGCCUCCCUUGCCUAUCAGUGUCUUGGAGCUCAGCUUAGGGGGAUGAGUGCAUCUGAUAGGUCCUUUUGAAAGGUGAUGCUCAGAAGUGUGUGUAUUGACAGGGGCUGUGGCUGGGAGAUGAGGAACCUUUUUGCAG